rnacentral:rRNA from 1 species
UGGGGAAUCUUGCGCAAUGGGCGAAAGCCUGACGCAGCGACGCCGCGUGAGGGAUGAAGGCCUUCGGGUUGUAAACCUCUUCAGCCUUGACGAAGCUGCUCAGUUUUCCGGGUGGUGACGGUAGGGGCUGAAGAAGCGCCGGCUAACUACGUGCCAGCAGCCGCGGUAAGACGUAGGGCGCGAGCGUUGUCCGGAUUUAUUGGGCGUAAAGAGCUCGUAGGCGGCCUGUCACGUCAAUCGUGAAAUUCUGCGGCUUAACCGUGGGAGUGCGGUUGAUACGGGCAGGCUAGAGUGCGGUAGGGGAGACUGGAAUUCCUGGUGUAGCGGUGAAAUGCGCAGAUAUCAGGAGGAACACCGGUGGCGAAGGCGGGUCUCUGGGCCGUCACUGACGCUGAGGAGCGAAAGCGUGGGGAGCGAACAGGAUUAGAUACCC